rnacentral:rRNA from 1 species
UCCGAAGGGGACUAGCGUUGUUCGGAAUCACUGGGCGUAAAGCGCACGUAGGCGGCUUCGUAAGUCAGGGGUGAAAUCCCGGGGCUCAACCUCGGAACUGCCUUUGAUACUGCGGGUCUUGAGUCCGAUAGAGGUGGGUGGAAUUCCUAGUGUAGAGGUGAAAUUCGUAGAUAUUAGGAAGAACACCGGUGGCGAAGGCGGCCCACUGGAUCGGUACUGACGCUGAGGUGCGAAAGCGUGGGGAGCAAACAGG